GUAGUAACAGUUAUGUUCUUGAAACUCAAAGAAUUUGGCGGUGUUUUAGUCCAUUCAGAGGAACCUGCCCCGUAAUCGAUAAUCCACGUUAAACUUAACUUAGACUUAUUUAGCUUGUAUACCGCCGUCGAAAGAGGAAUUUUUAAGAAUCCCCUCCAACACCCUUACUAGGGUAGAUGUCAGGUCAAGGUGCAGUUUAUGUCUAAGGGGAGGUGGGUUACAAUAAGGCUACUUAAACGGAUAUUCAUAGGAAGGGCUGAAUUGAAGGUGGAUUUGAGUGUAAUAAGCUUUACCUAAAGCUUAUGAAAUUGGCUCUAAAACAAGCACACAUCGC
rnacentral:rRNA from 1 species